rnacentral:tRNA from 1 species
GGGAGUGUAGCUCAGUGGUAGAGAACCUGCUUGGCAUGCAUGGAGCUCUAGGUUCAAUCUCCAGCUCCACCA